rnacentral:pre_miRNA from 1 species
GGGGGGAGGCCGGAUCCUGAGCUGUGUCCUGGCGCCCAGUGCUCCCGGACCUGUGCUCCGGCCGCGCAGCCUCCU